GGUAGUCCAUGCCGUAAACGUUGGGCACUAGGUGUGGGGACCAUUCCACGGUUUCCGCGCCGCAGCUAACGCAUUAAGUGCCCCGCCUGGGGAGUACGGCCGCAAGGCUAAAACUCAAAGGAAUUGACGGGGGCCCGCACAAGCGGCGGAGCAUGCGGAUUAAUUCGAUGCAACGCGAAGAACCUUACCAAGGCUUGACAUGUUCUCGAUCGCCGUAGAGAUACGGUUUCCCCUUUGGGGCGGGAUCACAGGUGGUGCAUGGUUGUCGUCAGCUCGUGUCGUGAGAUGUUGGGUUAAGUCCCGCAACGAGCGCAACCCUCGUUCCAUGUUGCCAGCACGUAAUGGUGGGGACUCAUGGGAGACUGCCGGGGUCAACUCGGAGGAAGGUGGGGACGACGUCAAAUCAUCAUGCCCCUUAUGUCUUGGGCUUCACGCAUGCUACAAUGGCCGGUACAAUGGGUUGCGAUACUGUGAGGUGGAGCUAAUCCCAAAAAGCCGGUCUCAGUUCGGAUUGGGGUCCGCAACUCGACCCCAUGAAGUCGGAGUCGCUAGUAAUCGCAGAUCAGCAACGCUGCGGUGAAUACGUUCCCGGGCCUUGUACACACCGCCCGUCAAGUCACGAAAGUCGGUAACACCCGAAGCCGGUGGCCUAACCCUUGUGGGGGGAGCCGUCGAAGGUGGGACCAGCGAUUGGGACUAAGUCGUAACAAGGUAACC
rnacentral:rRNA from 1 species